CAGUCGAGCGAACGGAUAAGGAGCUUGCUCCUUUGAAGUUAGCGGCGGACGGGUGAGUAACACGUGGGUAACCUACCUAUAAGACUGGAAUAACUUCGGGAAACCGGAGCUAAUGCCGGAUAACAUAUAGAACCGCAUGGUUCUAUAGUGAAAGAUGGUUUUGCUAUCACUUAUAGAUGGACCCGCGCCGUAUUAGCUAGUUGGUAAGGUAAUGGCUUACCAAGGCGACGAUACGUAGCCGACCUGAGAGGGUGAUCGGCCACACUGGAACUGAGACACGGUCCAGACUCCUACGGGAGGCAGCAGUAGGGAAUCUUCCGCAAUGGGCGAAAGCCUGACGGAGCAACGCCGCGUGAGUGAUGAAGGUUUUCGGAUCGUAAAACUCUGUUAUUAGGGAAGAACAAAUGCGUAAGUAACUGUGCGCAUCUUGACGGUACCUAAUCAGAAAGCCACGGCUAACUACGUGCCAGCAGCCGCGGUAAUACGUAGGUGGCAAGCGUUAUCCGGAAUUAUUGGGCGUAAAGCGCGCGUAGGCGGUUUCUUAAGUCUGAUGUGAAAGCCCACGGCUCAACCGUGGAGGGUCAUUGGAAACUGGGAAACUUGAGUGCAGAAGAGGAAAGUGGAAUUCCAUGUGUAGCGGUGAAAUGCGCAGAGAUAUGGAGGAACACCAGUGGCGAAAGCGACUUUCUGGUCUGUAACUGACGCUGAUGUGCGAAAGCGUGGGGAUCAACAGGAUUAGAUACCCUGGGUAGUCCACGCCGUAAACGAUGA
rnacentral:rRNA from 1 species